AAAGAAGAGAAGAAGAAAUGGUCUCCACCAUUAAUAAAAUUUCUGGUGCCUCACAUCAAUAUCUGUUCUCUUACAUGUUCUGCUUUUUAAACACUGACAUCAAGAGAAGCUCUGCAGGAUGAAAGGGUUAUUAUAUGACUGGACACCUUGAGUCACCUGGGGUAAAUUACCACAUUCUCUCAGUUAAGUCCUUGUGUUCUGAUGAAAUCAGUGGAGCUUGUUUUCACUGCUGGAGUAUCUGAGCCAUCAAGUUUAAUGAAUCAUUACAAAUAAAUUAAUUGGCAUUUGCAGGUGCUAUUAAAACAUAUAUAUUUAUUUUUAACCAAGAGAUUUUGUUUUACCUAGGAAGAGCAAUCUUUGUAAGUCACAAUGAUUUAAAUAUGGAGUACUGGAAUAAGUUUUGCUCAUUAGAAAGCCUGAUGCUGAAUUCAAUAUUACUGUCUGGUAAAUUUACCUCCUCCAGAAUUUAAGACUUUGAGUUGCAGGGGAUAAAACAUAAGGCCCUGGUUAAUUGCAAAUAAAUAGUGCCAGAAAUAUGUACAGAUGGUACCUGUAGUUCACUGCUGAAGACUAUCCAGUAAACUAUAUAUAAUUUGCGCGACAUGUAUGUACAGGAAGCAGGAGAACAACUUUUUUUGUGGUUUCUCACAUUUGUAAAAAAAAACCCAAAACAACAAAAAAAGAAAUAAUAAAUGAACGCUCUCAGUCUGUGAAACUUCUUAUUUGGGAAAACAGCAACCUGUAUUUCUAUUUAUUUACCUUAAUUAAAUUAAUUAAUUUAACAAGUCUAAAGGUUUCAGCAUUUUACAGGAUACAGGUGUAAAUAUCUGGCGAAUAGAGUGUAUAUAUUAAACUACAUCUACUUAGCUAGUAAAUAUUUUGCUGCAUUAGUUUGCUUAUUCCCAAGCAAUCAGUUGUGAACUCCAGUGUUGUAACGGGUCCACAGGGAACAUUUGUGCUUUGGUUGGCACUUAGAUUAAAUUAAUCAAAUGAUUUUUUUCCCCCUUCAAGGCUGACAUUUCAGAAUUUUUUUUUUAAAGGUUGUGUGCCAACUGCCAAAGUCAAUUAAUUAAAUAGUAAAUCUGAAAUUUGUAGGGGAAGAAUAUCGUUCCAUUUUGCUGUGCGACCUUGGAAAAGUGAACAUUUAAUCCACAAAACACAUGUCUUACUAGAGGGUCCUGGUCUGUUUGCAUUGAAAGGAAAAGCAAAACUCUCAGAGAUUGUUUGUGAGAUUAGGAAUUACCUCAAGGAUGGCAUUUUGCCCUUCUGCUUUUGAUACUAUGUAGUAAUGAGAAUAUCCUUUGACGCCCUGGUCUGUUUGAUAUCUUACAGGAUUCAGCACUUAGUAGAAAGCAAAUGUGCAAAUUUGAUGCCUCAUUUUCCAUGUAUUUGAAGGUACCCUAGAUGAAGGCAGGAUGUGCAGUCGCAGUAUUUGUGAUUUCUGUGCCUGUGAAAGAACUUCAGCUCAGAUCCAUAAUGGCAAUGACAGAGGCAAAAUUCAAUAGACAUGAGCAGAUGACCAUGGUGUGCAUCAGAACCCUAGGUUUUGGGCCCUGUACAUGCAUGAAAUGGAAACACAGCCCAAAGACAGUAUAAAAGACAGUAGAAACAGCGAAUGGGGCAGGUGGGUUAAGGCAGACAAGGUAAGUGCUUUGCUCCCUUUGCCAUUUGAAAUUCUUUCAUUCUGUGUUUUGCUACAAUUUCAAGUUCAGGACUUGCACAUAAUUUUCAGCCUGCCCAUGCCACGUUUGUUUCAGGAAGGUAGAUAUUUGUUUAUUUGGGAAGAGAAAAGCUGCCUAGAGUGGUUUCCUGCAUAAGCAGAAGUUUGUUAGCGUUUGGUCUCUAAUUUGACAACUUGGUGUGAGGGAGGUAGAGUUCAAGGAAAAGCGGUGAUCAGCCAUCUGUAGCAGGGAGAAGUGGUGAAAAGUGCUAGUGCCAAGGGUGUUUCUUGUAGGAAUGUAGGUGCUAUAUAUUAAGAUAUAGGAAGGUAAUUCCUCUCAGAAUUCAAAAUCAUUUCCCUUCUCCUACUCCUUUGCUUUAUAAAGUGAAUAUAGCAGCAGUUGUUUCUCUCAGAGCCCUGUAGUACAAUUCUUAGGACAUGUAUUUCAUAGAAUCAUAGAACACUUUGGGUUGGAAGGGACCUUCAAAGGUCAUCUAGUGCAGCCCCCUGCAAUGAGCAGGGACAUCUUCAACUAGAUCAGGUUGCUCAGAGCCCUGUCCAGCCUGGCCUUGAAUGUUUCCAAGGGUGGGGCACUGACCACAUCUCUGGGCAACCUGAGCCAGUGUUUUACCACCGUCGUUGUAAAAAAAUGUGUUCCUUUCUUUGGAGUUGUCCUGCCUGUCCAGACACUGGAGAUUUUAAAGUAAGGACAACUCAUGUUUUCCUGUUGAAAUUGUUCCUCAUGAAAGAGACUUACAGAUGUGAUGGCCCAGAAAGACUGAGUCGCUCAGGCGUGAGCAGAAUUGGGAGAUCUUCAGCUCUGCUGUUCUGAGCCACUGUUACUGUAUUUGGUCUCAGGGAUAUUUGGUGUAAAACAUUAGCAAGAAUACCUCCAAGAAGGAGAAAAAUAAGGAUGACAAGCUGUGGGUAAUGCUUGAGGUCAAAGCUACUUUGGGUUGCCAGCAUCUUCAUACUGUAAAAAUUGAAGUGUUUAUGCCUAUAAGGAGAAUCCCUGAGGGGACAUGGGAAACUUUAGUUUAAACAAUUGAAGGAAUUCAGAUGGGGCCAAGACUAAGCAAUAGAUGAGUGGAAGUUUAGAAUAUUGAAUUUUGAUUUAGAUCCCAUCUGAGGCACCUAGAGUCUUGGGUGGGUCUAAAACUCCGCUGUUAUGUAUUUAAAAUUUCUUCCUGUAGGAUGGAUUUGUUGAUAUUUAUUUAUCUCAGGAGAAUGUUGAGCAGAUAAAUGGGUCAAGCACUCACUUAUUACAGUAAUAAACGUAAUAUAUAUGGGCUUGGGCAAAUAGAAAAGGUGUUUUAAAUGGCUUGUAAAAUUUGGCAGAGAACAAUCUCAUGAAUGUUUCUAGAUGAUCACUGGAUUACCAAGUUUCCCUUAACUGGUGUUGGGAGGUUGUCCAUGUUGUUUUUGUGAAAAACGCCUGUAUCUCUUCAUGAGCUGUGAAUCCAGUUUUCCAAGAGAUCAUUAAACAUGAAAGAACUAAACAUCCUAUAUUUUUUUCCCUAAAGUUGUACCUCAGCAUUGUCUUCAUUGGUAGCCUUGUCUGCAGGAAGUGUAAAGUUUCCUGCUAUGAUUGUUUGACUGCUGCCAAUUAUCAGAUCUGCUUUUGGCAGCUUUUCCUUCAACCUGCUGAUUAGCUAAUGUGUGGUUACUAAUACAAUAUGGGAAACUGGUGUAAACGAGGAAGCAAAAAGUUUUACUAAUUUCAUGUGCUAAAUACUGUUUGUAAUAUAAUUAUCAAUACUGUGAAAAGAAAUCCUGGCUUAAGAAAUAGUCAGGUUUCCAUGUCUUUUGUGAAAUGAGGCACAAGAAUUUUGUGCAGUAAACAGGCAUAUUUUCCCCUUGAUACACACACAUAAUUUUCAUUAGAUUCAUGGAUUUUAAAGACAGAAGAGGGACCAUUAGAACAUCUAGUCUAAGUACCUGUAAAACACAGGCCACAGAGUUUCAUCCAGCUACCCUGUAUCAUAAUUAUUAAAAAAUAGGAGCCAAAUCCUAGGCUGGAUGUACAGCAGUUUUACUCCACCAAGCUGGAAUAAUGGUGAUUUAUGCCAGCUAAGAAAUUGGCAGUGGACUUAAGUGACAAUGGAUUCUUUCUGCAUAAACCUAAAUGAAAAUGGUCACUUCUAUUUUAAUAGCAGUGUUGAAAGAGCCUUACUGGGAGUAAGUUUUUGCAAAGUUUUUUAACUUUAGAAGAAAAUGAGGUUUUUCCCAAACUUUUCUGAGAUGAUUGUGUUCCCUGUUGUAAUUUAAACUUAUCCCUUCACUGGAUUUCCUGAAGAAAAGGCAUAAAGUUAGCAGAAAAAAUGUUUAUCUUUAAAUUGAAAUCCAUGCCAAGAUUCUUAUUUGUAAUUAAUUCAUUCCACAGGAUUUUAGUGGGAGGAGGAAGAACUAAACAAUAUAAUAAAAACCUCAUUUUUUUCAGAGCCGUAAAGAUCUUGAACUCAAAAGUUCAAAGAUUAAAAGUCUCAAGGGCUAAAAUGUAGAGUCUGUGAUUUCUCUCAUUAGGUUCUAUAUUUAGCAAAACAAGAUGUCUCAUCACUCUUUUGUAGCCAUCUGUACAUGUGUGUGGAUGAUGUUAUUAUAAUUAUAGCACAUACAGCCUUAUCAUUUAGCUACAGACAGAAUUCUACCUGCUCAGAGCUAAAGGGUUUAAGAAUGCCCUCAGACAAUAUUGACAUAGCCAACGCCAUAACAUCCUGCAAUCUGCACAGAAACGAAGACUUUGUGCACACCAAAGCUGAACAAAAAAACUUCCUUCCUGCUCCCCUAGCCCAGGAGAGAGUGUUUAAAGGAAAAUACCAGUGUGGGGAGAAUAACCUUCAGAUUCCAAACAAGUUACUGUCAGUUCUGUCUAGGAGAAGGUGGUGAAGGCUUUUGUGUUGAGCAACACAGAAAUCUGUGACUAUCAUGCCAACGUGUAGAAUAUACAGAAAGGAAGACAGCUUCUUAUUAGAGUAGCUGCUUAUGUGGAUAGUAAGAAGAGAAAAUCUCCUCGCAUAAUAGUUCUCAGUAAUUAUAAGACAACUGCUGGUUUGUCUGAAGAACAGUUGGAGGUGCUUUAUAUUUGGUUAAAAAAAAGUAAGCAGAAUACGUACAUUGUAACACAUUUGCCUUACUUUUUUCCCCUAGUGUUUUUCUUCAGAGCUGGAAGUCUGUUUCAAGAUGUCACAGCACAUUUUUGUUCCACUGUCACAUGGAGAAAAAAUUAUGAUAAUUUGUUACACAGAUAAACAUCAGAAGACAUGCUCUGAAGCUUACCAAUACACUCCACUUCUUUCUAUUUUCUUUAAGCAGGACUAGAAGAGCCAAACUCUUCUUGAGAAAGAAGGUUUCGCUUUGUCUUUACCCACAAGGAUUUAAGUGUUCCCCAUCCUCUUGGAAAUCCUCAUUUUCCUCUGUCAUACCACUUAAGUAUUUGGUAACAUCACACUUGCCUACAAAGCUUGUAAAACAUCACAUGCUUCAGCCUGUGGCAAACAACAUCUACCUCAUGAGGUACACCCAGGUUCUGAAUUCUUCCUGCAGUGCCUGAACCUAAGGUCCACUCAGCACUCCGUAAGAAAAUUGAGAAAAAAUACCUGUACAUCUAUUUUAUGCAGUCAGGCAAGACCAGCUGGUUAAUGAUGCCAUCUUAAACACUCUCAUUAAUAUCAACCUGUUGGCUUAUGUUAGAUGCUGCUGUGAAAUGGAUCCCCAGGAAUGAGACACUGGGAACAGUGGCUUGUAAAUGAGGACAACCCUUUGCAGCACCCUACUGAGUUUGGUGGUGUAUUGCAGCAUGUAGAGGACACUGCUCCUUCUCACCCUGCCUCAUUAUGGUAUCUUCUGCCCAAAGGAAGAUGUGUGUAGAGUGUGCCAGUAUAUUUGCACUAUGAUACAAGGUAAGACAAGGCAACACACGAGUGCCACAGAGAAGCCAGACAGGAGAGGCACUGAGUGAGGUCUGAACUGUAUACAGUGGGUAAGCUACCGUGAUCCUGUGUUUAUUUCUUGCUUCAGUCCCACACUUUUCAGGCCAUUAGGCUGACCUCCAAGAAACUUUAAAAAUAUUGUUUUCCAAAAGCUAAAGGUAGACUAUUGUUAUUAAAAAAAAGGCUGUUGUUCAUGGUCUUGCCAAAUUAAUUUUUGCUUCAGUGAAUGUGAUGCAAAAUUUAUAUAGUAUAGCCUCAUCAGUGAAUAAAAAGGCUCCUUUAACCCAGUCGUAUAUAAGUAUCAGUAAUACAAAAUUCUGACAAUUGUAAGAGCAUUGCAUUCACGGAAGCUUUGCACUUUCAGUCUAGUGAUAAAACAUCAGUCUGUAUAUAGUUCCAUUUUGUCAUUUGCUUGUGGAGUACUUCUUUCCUACACUAAAAUUAAAAUUGAAAAUACUUUUUCACUUUUGGGGAAAAGAGCACGACUGAAGAGAAAUUCUCCCUGGCAAAUUAAUAGAUAAGGUCUGCCAUGCUAACUCAAAAGCAAGCAAAAGGUAAAAAUUCAAUCUCUUUAUCACAGUUAAGUCAUUUUUCUAAACUGGGGAAGUAAUAUAGGAUGGAAUAUAUAGGAUAGAUUCUCUUACAGAAAGUGCUUUUAAACUUUAAAAGAUCCAUAACUAAUAUUAGGAAUGGGUAUAAAUGACAGUCUUCUCUUUUAGAUUAUGUUGCAUUUAUUACAUUCUACUGGGACUUUACAGAAAUUCUCAAGGAAUUAAAGUUAUAUUUAUGAUAAAAACAUGGAGCUGCUUCUAAAUAGCCUUUUCAUCAUAUUAACUGUUGCCUAGAUAACAGGCAUAUCUCCUCGAGCACCUCUAUUCUGGUUCAGCACUACAGCUUGCAAAUUAAUACAGUCAUUAUAAGACAGCAAAGCUAUAUCACUUACCAUUUCAUUAUUGUUCAUAUCAAAAUCCAUAUUUUUUCAGUUUUCCCUAGGGUUACAAACCGGAUAGGGAAAUGUUAUCAUCUUGCAAAAUAAUCUCUCAAGACUCACUCUCUCUGGUGUUAAGAGGAGCAGUUAAUCAUAUUGCAAUAAUUUUCAUAUUAAUAGGUCCUGUGCAAAGAGAGAGUUAAUACUCUCCUUCUACAUUCAAUCCUCCAUUAGAGUCUUUUAUAUAUAUAUAUAUAUAUAUAUUUAUAUGUGUGUAUGUGUAUAUAUAUAUAUAUGUAUAUAUAUUAAUUUGCUUGGAACUAGAUUAGCACAAAAGAUAUCACGUCCUACUCAGUAUAUGAAGGGUCAAAUCAACAGCAUACCCUUAGAUUUUUAAUCAAAAUGGCAAUCUAUCAUCCCUUACAGAGUUAGGUAAUGUUUAAAUGAAUAACAUGAAUACAUACCGUGUUUUAAUAGAGAAUAUGGGAGAAAACUUACUGCAGCACAGGAAAACACUCCCUAGAGUACCUUGCAGAUACUUUACUCCUUACAUGAGAAGCUGUGAUCCCACAGCAUGCGUAUCCACUCUAAAAUGAAAAUCAUCUUUAGAUGUGAAUUGUAUUUUUUGAGGCACUAAUACAACCUUUACUUUUGAGAUCUUCUCACAUACUGUAAUUUUCUGAAGGCUUCUCAUAUAGUGUUGCACAUGUAAUAUAAUGUUAUUUCAACUCAGAGCUUUAACUUUAUGCGUGAGCAUUUGCUGGUAUUUUUCACUUCUCCCAGCUGCUAACCUGAGUAAUGCAGUAUUUUCAGAAGAAUGUGAGUGUGAAUUUAAGGAGCUGGCCAAGGGGUCAGGUGUUUGCCUAAUUUUCAGCAGCCUGAACGUGACAGAAAGGUGGGUCAGGUCUGCAGAGACGUGGAGAGACUCAUCUCCUGCUCUGCCCCAGCUCAGUGGGGAGCUGCUCGGCCUGGGGGCCCGAGCACUGCAUGGGCUAAUAGGCCCCACGGAGAGUGGGAUUGAGACCUGGAGCACGAUGGCAGCCCUUUAGCCCAUGAAGGAGCCUGCCCCUUCUUCAGCAGCACUGGAAGAUGCUCCCUUGGUGAACCUUCACUUUCUGUCAGCAUCCACACUCAUUUGGCUAAGCUCCGCUAGUGUAAUGAUACCAUCUCUCUCAACAUCCUUCAUUAUUCUCUCCACUGUUGCUCCCAAGGGGUCUGAUUAAAAUCAGAGGAAAGCUUCCUUGGAUUUUACUGGCUUUGGUAGUCAGGUGUUCCUUAAUUUGCCUUUCUCAUAUGUUUUUAACUGCAUUUUCUGUUAGACUCAAUUCUGCUGUGGUGUUCUUCACAUCCCCCAUCUUCCUCCACUUUUGUAUACUUUUAUUCCUAUUCCUGACCCACUCGACAACUGCUAAAUUACUUAGGCAGUGAGCAAAAUGCAGAUUAAAGAAGUGCUUUCAGCUUUGAGCUAAAAUGUGUUGACAGGACUCAUAAGAGGCCUAGAGGAGACACAGAAAGUGGCAUCAUUUUGGGAGAAAAAAAAGCUAGAAAAAAGAUUCUCAUCAGAUCAGAGGACCCACCAUGGUUUUGUAGCAGCACUUCUAGCUGCCUUAAUGAGGUCACAAGUCCACUUAUGGUGUGUAGAAACAGUUUUAAUUGGUGAUAAUUUUAACACUUGUUAAUGAAACUUAAAGACAGCUGGAAUUGGGUUCUAUCUGCACUAUACCGGUGUAAAUCAAAAGUAAUGUUAUUGAAACUUAUGUUCUUCUUGAUUAGCAGCACUUUAUAAGAAAGCAGACUCUAACACACUCCUGAAUUUCAGCUAUUAUACUAUAUUUCCAUUUAUAACCUAACAUAAUUCCCACACAGCAUAUGGUAUUAAACUGGUGUAAACACCAUGUUAUGAUGAUACCCGAACACAUACAGCUGACAUGAAAAUGUCUUCAAGUACAAUAUUUCCAAAAGCAAUUAUGUCUGUAUGGUUGGUAGUUAGCUUGCUGCGUGACUUUUUCUUUCUUAUUCAUGUGUACAUGAAGGUGACACAGGAUGAAACAUAAUGUAUGAAAAAGGAGACAUUUUCCCUGCUUGCAAAGAAGAAAAAUUACAGGAUGGUCCACUUCUUUUGGCCUGCCAGGCUUUCAUAAGGAAAUCUCACCUUCAUGUGAACACAGUGUUGGAAUUUCCUUUGUUUGCGUUAGAGGGUGGAUGUGUAGAUUAGUGCAAGGAACACAGUGACACAAAGUGAAACUGAUGACAUCUUUGUAAGAGAAAAUGAUCUCCGAAAUCAGUAUUUAAGGAAGUAUUUAAACUCUCAGUGAAAGUUAUACACUCCUUCUGAUGUGUAUAUGCCCCAGACAUGAGCCUCUGCUGGUAACCAAGCAUUUUUCCAUGUUCCCUGCUGAGGCGAGUGGGAGACCAGCUCUCCUUGUCCAGGUAGAUGCAUAUGUGAAAUUCUUAAAAAAAUGGUGUAAUGUUGGAGUUGAGCCAAUAAUUUUGUUAAAAGGAUGUAAAUAAAAGCAUGUCUUUUGGAAAGUAAAUGCUUGUGGAUGCUAAUAUUUUUGCUUGAACACUUGCCAGUAGGGCCAGAUUCACAGCUGGUGUAAACUUUCCUAGUGCCAUUGAGUUAACACCAGUUUGAGAUGGAAAAUUCAUUUAUUAGGAUGAAGUGCAGCUUUUUCACAGACUGUUUGUAGAUCCACCUGCUACCCACGCUCUCAAUUUUUUUAGCCAUUCCUAGUCCCUUUUUUUCUUCCUGAGGAUCCUGUCUUAAAUACAUUCCUGAGACUAACAAAAUAGGACAACCUCAGUGUCAAAUUCUCUUAAUGAAAAGGAACUACUCAACAAUCCAGUUCUGUGCUUGUUAGCAUCAGUAUAAAUCCACAAUGACUUCAUUUUAAUUACUUUAUACUUGCACUAGAGUGAUUAACAGUAGGUUAGGCUGCUGAUGGCUUUGUAAAUUCAGCAUUUCCAGCUCAUCCCUAUUAUCCAAUACAGUAUCGUAUUUCUAGAAAAGAGAUGGGUAAACAAGUUGCAAUGGGGCAAGUGUAAAUCUGGAAUAACUCCACUAAAAAUUUACACCAGUGUGACUGAGAAUUAACUUUAGUCCAUUUAGUUGAACUCCUUUUAAUGGUUUCUGCAUGUUCAAGCAUCCAUCACAGAUUAGAUGGAAACCUGCAGACUUGCUGUUAUCUGCGGUACAAGCAGGACACCAGGGGUGAAAGGGUAACGCAUUAUCACACUGCACCACCUGGCCUAUCCAACACAAUUUAAGCAACCAUAAUUGUAUUGAUUACUUCUUGUGCUCAUGACUAAUGAACUCUAGCUGCAACCUUGCAUUUUCUAAAUCUUUUAUAUUCUGAUUUAAUAAUAAGAUUUGAUUAAAAAUUGCCAUUAGCCAAUGCCAAUGAUUAGUCAGCAGGACUGAAUGCCGCCAAGUUCCAAUGAGUUUUAUUAUUCUGGAAUUAAAAAGGACAGAUAACUUCUCUGGGUUAAUAAUACAACAAUUCUGUCUCAAUCAGGAAUGAAAGAAAACAACUCUAAUGUACAAAUGUAGCAAAAUGUAUGGCUAUUACUAAUAGCCACAUUUUACAGGGAAGUGUUUGAAGAAUUAAAGGAUUUUGUCACAGAUGGUGGGGACAGUUUGCUUUUACUUUUUAUAUUUGAUUGGAAAGCCAGUGUCAGAUGGUGUGUGAGGGGGCAUUUUCCUAAAGAAAGCUAUUUCCUUUGAUGAAACAAGAACAUGGGGUUUAUUCAGUUUCUCCACAUGCAUUCCUGCCACAACAAAACAACGCAAAGUAUAUGUAGGCUAAAAUGAACCAUGAUGGCUUUAGAAAAUGACAACAGGAUAUUUACUUGCUGAGAAUGUAUUAACCUAUGAUAUUUAUUUAUUUAUUUUCAAAAUGAUGACUUAAUAUUUAAACAAAAGGACAUAUUGUCACAUCUUCCACAGAAAAUAAGAGACUAUGCUGUUUCCUUUCAGGAAGAUAAAAUAUUUAAACACAUACUGGUUUUUAGACGUGUAACUAAAUCUUACUGAAGUGUGUUUGCUUAAGGAUAGACUUAAGCCUACACCUAAGAGCUCUGCUGAUUCCGAAUCAAGGCCCUGGUGUUUCUGAAGACGGGGUCUACUAGAGGAGAUGCUCUACGGGGGAAACAUCUGCUGCGGGAGGUGGCGUUCCCUCAGAUCCCAUUGAAGCUGGCUGAAGGACUGGGUGACAUUGAAGUCAAUGAGAGCUGAGAGCACACAGCACCUUUCAGGUUCAGACCUCUAAAUAAUAAAAGACCCUUGAGGCACAGUAAAAGCAUUUCCCCCCCAUCACACAGGAGCAAGAAAACUGUCCUAUCUCACUUUCAUCCUCCAGAAAGCAAAACAUGUCCUGAACCUGAGUCCUUAAAGAUUUUUAGGGUAUUUGAAUAGAGAAAUGCCUCUUUUAAUUACCACGUACAUAAAAUCUUUUGUCACCUUCAGGAAAAUAAUUUUUAAACCUACUUGGUUAAUAAAGUUUGCUUUUGGCAACUGUUGUUUUCUCUGCUUAUUAUAAGUGCCUUUAAAAUGUUUCCAUUAAUUAAGGCUGCUUUUAUGGGCUACAUCCAUUUAGUAAAAUUACAGAAAGAAGUGCUGCCGACACAUCUGCCAUUGACUUCUGUUUGCCUGAGCAUUUUAUACCCCCGUGAAUAGCACAGUGAGGAGAGAAAGCCUGCGAAAGAGAAUGAUAGAAAGAGGUGAAUUCUGUCCAGCAAAACAUGGAGGUCAGGAAAGACUCGGCUGAUUACAUACUCAUAUUUUCCAGGAUUGCAAGAGGAGAGUGGAAAUUUGGUUGAACUCUAGUUACAACAGGAUAGCCCUCUUAAAAAAAACUGAUUGAAAUCCUCAAAAACCAAAAAUUCAUAAAACGUGAGUUUGAAUAGAUGAGAUUUUGUUUUGGGGGAGUAAGUAAGAAGGAGGUUGAUCUGAACAUCUCAGUAUUAACUUAUGGAGGUUUUUAUAUACCCUCAGCUGAAAGCAUUACUAGCCAGAUUAUAAUUAUAAUUACCUUGGCUUCAUCUCAGUGUUUAUCUGCCAUGACACCCACCCAGCCACCUGCCUGCUAUUAAUUCAUUCAACAGUAACUUCAUCUUUUUUCCUUUUAUCUUGUUUUUUUCCUGUUAUCCUAACUUUAAAAAAAUGUGUCCGUUAUUAGAAACAAACUACCACAAUAUUUGUUUGUCCAUGACAUCAUGUGUUCCUUUUUUUUUUUUUAAAGAAAAAAAAAACAAACUCAGAAUUCUUCAUAUUAUAAAAAUAACCUGUUUAUAUUUUAUAGUGAAAACUGGAAAGAUCUGGCAUUUGACUCAAAAACUCAGGACAGCUGAUGAUCUUCUUUAAAUUGAAUCUUUUAAAUACCUUUUUUUUUUUUCCAUCUGAAAUAUUGCCAGAUAUAAAUAAGAGGAAAUUCAUGACAAAGGGCAAUAAGCACGAUACACAGUUGGCUUGUAGGAUUCCACUGCGGGUGCAGUUCUGUAUGAGUCCUGGAUAUUUGUUGCCCUUGUUGCUCUUGGGGUGCUGAAGUUUGUUGUUUGCUCUGACAGAACACUGAAAUGUCCAACUCUGCUGUGAAACAAUGCCUUAAAGCACCCCCCAAACAAGACCAACUUGAAAUAGCAGCCACUCCCACAGUGCUUAAAGCCUCAGGAAAACGUAACACUGUAUUCUGCUAUGCUUUUGAUAGGAGAGAAAGCACUUUUCCCCAGUAUACCUGGGACUGUGAACUGGUGCUGUUGUGUGAAUGUCCUUUUGGAUGUGAGGUGAGCAGUAGAUUGAAGAACAAACUCUAAUGUGUCAGAGAGAGCUAAUUAUAAUAAUGGCUUGGGGUCAGGUAAAUGCUUCACUAUUUAUCUGACCCAAACACUGUUUGUUAUACUCCUUGUGUCAACACAUUUUUACAGAGUGAAAAUUAGCAACUAAUUAAUUUAAUUUCAGGAUUUAAUGCCACUGUAAAGGAAAAUAAGCAAGGCUUAUAUUGAAUAGUAGUGUGUUUAGAAGGGAAUAUUGUAAACAUGAAAGUGAAGAAUCUUUAAAAGCAGGUUUGUGUUGAACGGUGUAAAGGUCUGAUCCUGCGGCCACUCAUCAAACCUCAGUUCAUCAAACUACACUUAAGUAUCUGGUCAAGUUGUGUUCAAAUCAAAAGCAUGUGCUUAAAUAUUUUCUGCACUGAGGUCUCCGACCCUGCUCAAGCAACAUUUCUGAUUUUGUCAAGCCUGCUUGCCUGGGGAAAUGUGUCAGGGUGAAGGCCUAAUUGCCUAUAUUCCUCUCUCUACAUUUGAUGCUCCUUCUUUCAAUGACAUUUCUGCUCCCUGUCAGUUGAAGUUUGGAAAUGUCAGAAUGUAAGACGUGUUACCCCGACCCCUGUACAGAUUUUGGGGGCACAGUUCAAGCAACCAAAUGAAUGAAGGGGAAUUUCUGAGGAGUAUUCUUAUUGCUUAUUAUACUUUUCAGCUUCCCAAAUUAUGCAAGCUGCUGUUUAUUGUUGGUUCCUGACCUGUUUCAGCUAAUACAGUCUUCCUUUGGCAUAACUCACAAAGGUACAGCAGCACCUUGUGUAUAUGGAGACAGUAACUCUUUGCACUGUUAGUCUUUUUAACUUGAAGACUUUAAAUACUUUAGGACCUACUGGGGCUGGAUGUUGCCCCAUCUUUUCUGCUUUCUGUCUUUUCUUCUUAUAUUGCUUUCCCCAUCUCUCCUCCUCUCUACCUUUUUAUUCUUAAAGGAGGUCAGUACUGGAGACUCUACUGUGUGUGAAACACCCUCUUCCCCUAAAGGCCAGAAGAAAGUCCUGGUGUGUCCCAGCCAGGUCCCCAUUCUGGGUGACUGAGGGUCGGGGGCAUCCAAAGUGCACUGUGGGCUGCAGCUGCUGAACAGUUCCCUAUAGUUUAAGUGGCUGGCCCCAGGAGAGACAAGAAAUCUGUGGCAGAGCUUAGAGAACAACCCAGGUGUUUUAGAUGUUCUUCCUCAGUCUUAGACAUCAAACAGUUUUCAUUCCCAAUGUAGAACCAUUCAUUGCUGGGAUAUUUAUAUUACCGUUUAAAAUUAUGGGCCCCUGCAUGCAGAAAUCUCUAUUUUUAGACCUAUUUUUUUCUAAUGAUGAAUUAAGGAAAUAUUUUAAUAGUGUAUAAUUAUCAGAACACGGGUAUCAGUCUAAAACUUGUAUCCAACACUCUGCUGAUUUGGCACUGUGUGGCUAGCCUGACUCUGUCCUCAAAGUCAUCUGCUGUGUCAGACAGCAGCUGCUGCGAGGGAAGUAUGUACAGCUACAGCUUUCACCAAGACAUCCACAGCUCUGAGGCUGGGGACUGAGGGGGCAAUGCAUAGGUCUUGCGAUCUUCCUCAUCUUGUUGGAAAAGGUCACAGAAACCAUCAAAUUGACUGCAGAACAUUCCCUCAGAGCAAUGCACCUUUUGUACUGCAGAACUGCGACUAUUUUUGAAGCCAUGGUCCAUGUGGAACACAAAUCUUUCUUUAGCAUGUAUAUCAGUGCAUUAGGAACACCCUCAGGGGACAGGGAGAUGUUUCCUGUUCAGUGCAGUAUUUCAACAAAAUAUUCUAAAUUAGAGUAAUGUAAAACAGGCAAGAAAACCAUUGCUGGGUGUUGUUUCUUCUUUUCAAAAGCAAGUCAAGGACAAACUAAGGCAUGGAGAUGCUUGACUGUAGUCAAUGAAUGUAUUUGUAGAAUGCGGUAAUAAUAAGAAAAAGGUCAAUGUACUGGAGCCUGUGGAUUCUUUCUACAUUACAAAGUUCAUCAGGCUAAAACAGGCUGGGAAUUACAGUAAUGUAGGGACAGCACAGCAGACCAUAGACUGCAUUUUAGAGAAGAGCUUUGCACGUGCCCCAUGUCCUCUGCUUCUACUCCAUGGGCCUUGCACAAAAUCCGUACCAAUAAAAUGAUCAGCCUGUGUGAAGUAUAAAGGAUUUUAUAUAGUAUAUAUUAGUUUUGUUCAAGAAGUAUCUGUAAAACAGUCAUCUGCCUAGCAAGCAAAUGUCCUAACAUUCACUUGAUAGGGAGAGGAAAUGGCCCUUCAUUUCUCUUACAUGAGUUAUAAAAUGGAAAAGCCACGAAAAAUAUACAGUCAGAAGUGUCCACAAAAUACUUUUUUCUAUACUCUCAGGAAUAAAUUUUCAGUCACAUCUAUUUUCUUGUUCACCAGUGCCCUGUGGAAAGACCUGAUGAAGAGGCAGGUUGGCCUUCAUCCUGCAUGGGUCUCUGCUAUGCCUCACAACAGGUUUGCUAGCAAGUGUUCUUGCUACAAGCAGGUAUUCUGCCUUCAGGCUCUGGCAUUGGCUCGCAGCUGAUGAAACAAAUCACAGUACUGCCAGUUACCUAGAACUGCACAUGAAGGAGAGGAAUAAACUACAUAGAGACCAGAUUCUAUAAUAACAUCACAUGCUAAUCACAAGUGACUGUUAAGAAUGACUUUAUUUCAAUUAUCUUUCCAUGAAGGCUCAGUAAGGCUGGUCUUUGUUAAUAGGUUUCUCUGACCAUCAGUACGUGAAUAUUCAGAGGUGUGAAUAAACCUAAUAUGGAAGGAAAAAAAAGCCCACCAAACAAAUGAUCUUUAAAGCCUAAAACAUGCUCACUGUUUUUCAGAGACAGAACUUUGAACUUUCUUUACAAAAUUUAAAAUGAAUUUGACUGCAUUUGAUACAUCCAUUAAAGAAAAUCACCUCUUUUAACUUCUGUGGCUUUUCCAUGGGCUCCAGAGGUUACCAUGGGUAGGACACCUUAGCAGCCAAUGUUUCAUUAAUAAGAACAUUUUUACUUCCUUUUUUGUUGUUGUUGUUUUGUUUUGUUUUUGUUGUCUCUUGUUCAUAUUAGAAACUUCUGGAAAGCAUGGGCCUUUUAUUGUCAUGAUUUUGGAAGACAUCAGAUGUACAGUUUAGUAUGAAUCUUCAGGCAUGACUAGAAUAGAAACAAAAGAAUAGUGAAUGAUUAUUAGUCAUUGUCUUAGGCUAUGUGAAAAUGUACAGGAAAAAAAUCAUGCUAAACUGGAGUGUUAAAGCACUGGAAAUAUAGACCCAAACUAAGUUCUCAAAAUCAGGAUAAGCCACGGCUGUUGCCUGUUACUUCUUAAUUAACUAAAUGAAGCAUACACAGCCAAUAAAGAUCUAACUUUUGCAGGGUAAAUAAGCUAGGACUUUCAUGGAUGCCAAUAAAAUGAAUGUUGUCUGGGAGAUAUUCAUUAGCUGAGUGGAAGAUGUCUGUUGAGGCUGUGGUCCAGAAAGCUGGUGGAUUUAAUGGCAUGGGCAUGCGGAAUUGUGCAAUAAAGUGAGUGGAGCUGGUAAAAGAAAAGAAGUAGCAGUUCUUGUAUGAAUAUGUUUCAUUAAACUAGCAGUAAAUUGCAGUGACUUUUAUUGUCUUCUGGUCUACGCUGGCCAAGGUCUGACUGCUGCUAGUAGGUCUACACAUUAAUUUGCAGAACAGGAAUGCUGGUUUGCUGUUCCCCACCACCUGAGGUUAGAUAAGGAAAACUUAGUUGGAUGCCUAUUGUGAGUGUGGGGAGGUGAAGAAAAGCAAUUGUGAAACAGAAAAUUCUCAGCUAUGUCUAAAAUCCCUUCUCUCCUAUUUGUGAUUGUAUGGUUAAACAAGAAAAAUGGAAGCCCUUACCUCUUCAGCCAUCGUCUGUUCCUGCUCUGACAGCAUUCUCCCAGUGGUUCGGAAACCUCUAUGUGCUGUACAAGGUGGAGGAAGAAGGAAGGAAGGACUGAAGUUUCUGGAGAAAAAAAGAUCAGCAGAAGCAGAAAAAAUGGUAGCGUGAUGAAGAGCAGCAUUAUGUCACUCUAUUUUUAAAGAGGCAAUGGUAAAUUUAACAUCCAAGGUGUCUUGAGUGGAAGAAUAAACACAGGUGUAGAAAAAUCUUACAGUCCUGCUUUCAACAAAAAUGUGGUGAAACUGAAAAUGAAAGAAUUGCAUCUGUGCCAUUUGAACAGAAGCCCGACUCAGAGCAUGGCAAGGUUCGCUGACAUGUGCCGAUUACACAAACAACUGUAUUUCUUCCUGCUUCAGCCUCUUCUUUUCAUCUUAGCUGGAGGCAAAAGAGAAAUCGUAAAAUACUUGCAGAAGAUUAGAAGAGCUUCCAAAUCCACAUGCAUACCUUGGCCAGAUAAAUGGAGUAUCAUUCUGGCUCAAAUUUUUUUUGUGUGAAAGAUCCUGCUGGAUGCAACAGGUGAGGGUAACGCCUUGAGGCCGCUUUACCUUCUUGGAAAGAGGUGUUCCUUUUCUCUGAACCUGAAACAAUCCUCCUACAAUACUCGCAUGAUGGUCUUGAGAAUAUAAACUGAGAUAGUUUUCAACUGAGGCAACACCUGUAGGAGAUCUCUCUUAGAUCACCCAUGAACACUGGAAUACAGGCCAGUCCUGGUCAUAGAGGUCUACAGCCAGGCUGGUUGUUUUAAUUCUAUAAUUUUGGCUCCUAGUGGCAGAGUGAUCUGGAGACAAGAUAACAGUAUCAAGUUCUGCACACAGCUGGAAUCUGAAGGUGUGACUGUAUGGCUGUGACAAGACUGGUCUUCAGAGAUGCAGCUUAGACAGACAUAGACAGGCAUAAAGGUCACUGCCUGCAAAACUACUGUCCUGUGGAGAAUAACUCAAAUUCGGACCCCUUCUGAACAUAUCCAGUUUUGCUCUUCCACUGUCCUUGAAAGGAACAUAUUUCCUAUACUGUAUGUGCAUGACUUUGGAAUGGUGAUCUACAGAAACGAAUGCUGGAGCAUCCUUUUUAACUCUGGCAUGUUCACAAGAUGAAUCGUGGAUUCCUUCAUGGUGCUGUGCUACGCUGAAGGAAAUUUCAGCUAACUUUGUUGAAGAGCAUUAGGAAAUCACACAUAAAAGCAGGGGUGCCGAUGCUGUGUGCUGAAGGAGGACCCUGCCGAAAAGCAGACCUGACACAGAGAAGAACUGAUAAAAUGUAUGCUCCCUCCAUCUGCCACAGCCACAGCUGUGGCCAAAGUUAGAAGCUGGGAACAGAAAAAGAUGGUCCUUGGGAAAAUGUUAACAAUUGCAGCAAUCCUGGAAUGCUCCGGAGAACACCAUGUAAGACAUUGCCAAGAAAGCAGCAGGAGAACUGAAACCAAUGGUUCUGGGAACACUGAAGGGGAAGUCUGAUUGUCAUUCGUGGCAGAUAGUAACCCAGACUUUAUUAUCUUCAUAUCUUGCAAACAUAAUAUAGCAUCAAGAUGACAACCUCAUCCUUGGGCAGCUUUCUGGGAAGGGAUCUCCAUUGCUGAGGGGCAGAGAACUGAUCUCCUGGACAGAUGUAAGAUACUGAUUGUACUGUGAUACUGGAUGAUAGGGAUUUUCUGGUAUAUAACAGUGUUGAAUUCUACCUUUUCACUACCAAAAUGUACCUAAAAGAACAUUACUUAGGCUACAAAGUCCGAGCCCUGUGUAUUAGAGGAUCUCCAGUCAGUCUUUAUUUGGCCAUAAGUGUAAAUGUAUUGUUCCUAUGAAAAUCUGACCUUUCCCAGUAUUUUGAAGGGAAGGCAGAAAUAGAAUUAGGGAUGGACGCUCAUAUGUUUGACAUUUCCUAACAUUUAAUUCACUUUACAACCCAACCAACUUUCCUUUACUGUUACAUUUUUUAUUACAGACACAUACAUGCACACAUAUAUGCCCAUAUAAAUUUAUAUUACUGAGAGAAAGGAAGCUGUGUUUUCCAUUCAGUAGGAAGAAACAUCUUGAUUGACUUGCUUCUCUGUAACAAUUCUCGAAGAAGACAGGUAAAAUAAAAAGGUUAAGGACCUCACAAACUGUAUGCUACACCUGUAAUUGCAGUACUUAAGGGUUCUUAACCAUAGUGCAGAAGAAUAAAAGGAAACUAUCUCAACACAAGCACUCUUGGAUACAUGCUGUGUCUCUUCACUUUUUCUUAGACCACAGCCUCUCGCCAGCUGACCCAGUGAGCAAGCCCUUUCCAACUUUAGAAGAAUCUACGCUUUAGCCAUUCCAGCUGGGAAGAGCAAGGUUUUAUGUUGCCAUAGCAGCAGUUAGACUGAGAAGGGGAUAAGUAGAAAAGGUGUCAAAGACAGCCAAAAAUAAGAGGUUAUAAAGAAGUGAGAUCCUGUUUUUCUGCAGGUGGGUCGAUAAGUUCCCAUCCUGAUACUCAGGGGUCUGGUUGUGAAAGUGUUUUAGACCCCAAGUGUCAACAUGGGAUCUGUGGUGAGGAGUUGUUAACCUAUGGGAUCACAUCACAGGCAUUUAACAAGAUGUCAUUUGUCCAGACUACAGAGGAUCCUCUCUUUCAGUGUACAUACCCAUUCUUCACUCCCUGUUUAUUACUCAGCAUCGUAUAAUGCAAGCUGUGGUUCCUCUGUGCUCCUCCUUGAGAAAUAUGAACUCAUUCAAUUGCUACAGAGUAGGAAUCCUUGAGCAACAAGUGAGUAUUACUACACAAGAAGAUUUCAAAGAUUUUAAAAUUUUCCCUUUGAUCUCCCUGAGAGUUCAUAACAAAAUUGUUCCCAGCCUGCUUUGAUGCAGAAAAAAGAAUCAAGCUCUUGCAGGCAAAAUCCUGGUGGUAAACAGAUUAUUCAUAGUUUCUAUUUUUUCUUCUGCACUUUCCUGUUGUAUGUAUUUGACACUGAAAAAGUUUCAGUUAGAUGGUGAAAUAUAGCACACAUGAAAAAUAAAAUCUAUAGACUCACAGACCUACAUCAGUAACUGCAACCGAACAAACCAUGCAACUCAAAACCCAGCAAAGAGAUGGUCUGAAACUGCAAUCACUGAGGGCUGUAAAAAGUUUAAAGAAUUAAAGAAAAUGUACUGUGAUACUGUGAAAAUGUUUGUGAAAGUUUGAUAUAAUCCAGUUACUUGAUAGUGACCAAUACAGGAUCCAGUGUGUAGCUGGUGGGCUAGAUUCAAUCAGGAAAUAAAAUUGUCUUCAUGAAUUGUUGCAACUACUUAUUUCCUCUUCCUUUAUUUCUGAGAACUCUACAAUAUUUUCUUCACCAUGUUGUAAGAUUUUAUCUUGCUAUAUGGGAUGGUAGUCAUUGGGUAGAAAUUGACAUGUGCUGCUACACAUCACAUGUGUGUUCUUCCAAUUGAUGAGAAAUGAGCCCAUCAAGAUUUACCUUUCUUUUGGACAUGUUGUGAGAGGUCGGUGUGUACAGUCCCUGAGCACUUCCAUGUAAGGCUGUUAUGUUCCCCAUUAGCUAAAAUGCAGCUCACUGCUGCAGGUGGCUGGACAGUGGUUACAACUUAAAUUAUUUAAGGAUUAAAAGACAUGGUAUUUGAAAUAUAUCAUUGCUAAUUUCAAAAAAUAUUAUUGUCUUGAUAUCAUUCCCAUCCAGACAUGCUUUUGUCCAUCUAUUUUUUUAAUCUUGCUUUUUUACCCUAGAGCAAUUUUACCCUAGAGCAACUUUAUCAUCUCCCUCAGCUGCCAUCUUCAUUUAAUGACGAAAGGAACAUAAAGAUGUGUAGGCCUCAUGAAGCUAUGAAAAAUAUAACCCAGGUUCUGCUGCAAUAAAGGAAUAACAGCUCAUAAUGUGGAAUAGUAUCUGAACACUCAUUUAUCUGAAUAGCCCACUUAUGUCAAUUGGAUUACUCAAGUGACUAAAAGAAUAAAAAUAACAGCAAUUUUUUUUUUAGAAUGAAUGUGAUAAUUUGGCUUUUAGACUUCUUUUGUAUUAAUCUUACCAAACAAUCAGCAAUGAGUUCUUUGAGUUGCUGUGAAACUUGCUCACUUGGUCAAUUAGAGUUGAAUUGUCGUGGUUGCUACAGUGCCCACAGCAGGGACAAUCCUUUUCGUGGGCGUCUAUGGAGUCUGCUUGCACCAGAGCUUUAUCACCCUUGGUAAAAUCUUUUUUUCCCUACUGGGCAGUGGACAUGCCAGCCCCAAGAUGAAGACACAUCAGGUCAGUUCAUAUCAGAUCCAAAUGCCUCACAGUUCUCUGAGAGAGUAAAUUACCUGAGCGCAUUGCUUUGAAACUCAUUGCAAAUACAUUUUCUGUGCAGCAGGCUGUGAUAUCAUAUCCACCCUAUUUGCACAGAAUAUAAGACUAUUCAUUUAUGAGUGCAUAGGCUUUUAUAGAUGUGCUGUUGUCCCAUAUAAGACCUGAGUUUUGCUUGUUGGAAUGUAGUGCCUUUUCACAUUGUAGUUGUAGGCAGGACAGUUGUAGUUGAAGGACAGUAAUUAGUUUACGACAUACAAAAUCAAAUGUUGUGUUUGUGGCUUGCACAUUGAUUCACAUAGUGUUUUACAAAGUCAAGAUUCAGUUUUAUGAGCACAUAAUGUAAGCUCCAAACUUUUGCACCCUUUAUGUAUCAUUUUUGAACUCUUUGGUAUUUUGCAAUUUCAGUUUCCCAGAGCAGCUAAUUUGGUAAUAACAUGUAUUUUGUAGUUUUGUCUUAGAAGGAUAAAGCUAAAGAUAUUUUAAAAAUGAAUAGUUUAUAGCAUUACAUUGUAUUGUUUACUGUUGAAAUAGAACAAUGUUGUAGGUCCUAGAAAUUGAAAUAAACCUUGCAAAUACCUUA